UACGGGGGGGGCAAGCGUUGUUCGGAAUUACUGGGCGUAAAGGGCUCGUAGGCGGCCAACUAAGUCACACGUGAAAUCCCUCAGCUUAACUGGGGAACUGCGUGUGAUACUGGAUGGCUUGGAUUUGGGAGAGGGAUGCGGAAUUCCAGGUGUAGCGGUGAAAUGCGUAGAUAUCUGGAGGAACACCGGUGGCGAAGGCGGCAUCCUGGACCAAUAUUGACGCUGAGGAGCGAAAGCCAGGGGAGCAAACGGG
rnacentral:rRNA from 1 species